GCCUGGCUGGCUCAGCUGGUAGAGCGUGUGACUCUUGAUCUCGGGGUUGUGAGUUCCAGCCCCACGUUGGGUG
rnacentral:tRNA from 1 species